CCUACGGGAGGCAGCAGUGGGGAAUAUUGCGCAAUGGGCGAAAGCCUGACGCAGCGACGCCGCGUGAGGGAUGAAGGUCUUCGGAUCGUAAACCUCUGUCAGCAGGGAAGAACGGUCACUGUGCUAAUCAGCAGUGAAUUGACGGUACCUGCAAAGGAAGCACCGGCUAACUCCGUGCCAGCAGCCGCGGUAAGACGGAGGGUUCGAGCGUGAAGCGGAAUUACUGGGCGUAAAGCGCUCGUAGGCGGUAUGUCAAGUCCAGGGUGAAAUCCCCGCGCUCAACGUGGGAACGGCCUGUGAAACUGGCAACCUGGAGUGUGUGUGAGUCUAGUGGCCUUCCAGGUGUCGGCG
rnacentral:rRNA from 1 species